GGGGUCGAUUUUCUUUUUGCAGCUCUCUUCUGGGGGGCCCCGUGAGCAGGAGAGGCAGGUCAGUGGGACCGCAUUUGGGGGCUGCUGCUGGGAACCUUUUUGCUCCUUGUUUUUUUUGUUUUUUUUUUUUCACUCUAGUCGUUGCAUAGACUCGCAUCUUAUUGAAAAGCCUCUUAAUGCUUGAGCGGAUUCAAAGAAAUGGAGAGACACUCUGGGGGCAGAAGUGACCCACAAACAGAAUUGUUUGAAAACAGCCGAGGUACGGGCGGCCGGCUGAGAGGGUCGCCAGCCUCGUAGGGUGUGAGGGUCAGUGGUUCUGACCGAAGGACUCAUCUCAAAGGGCUGGAGCCGAUUGUGCAGGGUGCAGCAGCUCGGGAAUGGUCAUCUGGGUCUGGAGGAGGCUGACCCGUCUCCGGGCGGUCCGGGCAGCAGAGGGGAUCAGGAAGCACAGGGUCCAUGGGCGGGUCGGAGCAGGUCUGGGCGCGGCCGGAGAGGCGGGGCUGGCGCUGGACAGCUGGUGCCGCUGCAGAUCUGGCCCCUGGGAGGCCGUGGGGCAGCAUUUUCUCGUCAUCAGAGUCAUCAGAUUUCGCAAAUGGAGGGAAGACGGCCAGGAGGAACGAAAUACCUUCGGAAUUGUGUCCCGAGGCCAGGCCUUUUCUCUGUCACUUUGUCACCCUUACACUCAGAGCACCUGGGGGUGCACACCCCGGUCUGACCUCAUUCCCACAACAGCCAGUAGCCCCAGGGAGCCUCCCCAAGGAGUCUAAGGUUGUCUGCACACGAGUUCCUGCCAAAAAGCCUGUCAUUGAUUGGAAAGGAGCCACGGUGAUGGUUAGAAGUGUUCCAUCUGCAAUGCCAUCUAUCGUAGUUCUUAUUAAAAUAAUGGAAUUGAAAUAACAAAUUAACGCGACAGCCAGCAGCAGCGGCAUCCAGAGAGAGGGCAGCAGUCACAGCAGCCGCAGUCGACAAUUCCCCGGUGCUUCUGUCUACAAGGUGCAGGCUCAUGGUGCCGAGUUUGCCUGUGACCCCAACUGGACCCGAAGCUCUGUGUCCCGGGAGUGGAACUGGUGCUUCCCACCGGGCAGGAGAGAUGGGGGCCGGGUGACAGUCACGGUGAUGGAUCCUUCUCCUGACACCUUUCGACGUCUCCACAGCCGGUUAUGUCACUUCUUGCUGAAACCUCCCUCCGCAGUGCGACCAGUGGAGCCAGGAGCCUGACCAUGUGGCUGCCUGACCCCAGCGGCCCAGAGACCCCACGUUCCUCCAGGGCUCAGGACCCACGGGACCGUCUUUCGGGGGUUGUGGCCCCAGAAAGUGCGCGCGGGCGUGAUGUCCACUCCCAGGUACCUGGGGCUGGGCCCGCAUUGCGGAUGGUCAGGGACCACUCUUCCCUGGGUGCCCCUCGUCUUGGGUCAUUUCUCUGCUCACGAGCGCGGGUCCUGGGGAUGGGAGAGCAGAAUUAACGGGAGGUGGCUCAGCGCAGUAGGCACUUCUGAAGUUUGAGAUGGCACAGCUGCCGCCCCGAGACGCACGUCGUUAGAGACGGAGGCUGCGACGGGGCACUUCCGACUUUACUGUCGCAGCAGUUCUCCGCCGGGGCCUCAGCCUCCUUCCGCUGCUCUUGACCCAAGGCUCUGCUUCUUCAGACUCUGCCUGCCCCUCGAGGGCUCCUCUCACCGAGCCCUGGACACCUCCUCCAGGGUCCUCAGCCCUCACGCUUUCCCCCCGACUCCAGGCACGCAGAGCGCGGACGUUUCCUAGGAAAAGGCUGACUGAUGUCUCGGACCGCACUGCUGGAUGCGAGCAGGAGGGACAGGCCAGUCCAAACCACAGCGAGAGGCCCCCUCCCACCUCUGAAGUGGCUGUUUCGCCGAAGGAAGAUGAGUGUUGAUGAGGGUGAAGAGAAGAGGAGGUCCUGCCCUGCUGGCGGAGUCGAAAAUUGGUACAUCAUGGCAAAGGGUGAGGGGUUCUGCCCAGAAAAUGAAGCACGCCCCCCACCCCGCGUGCCCCCGCCGCCCCGAUCUGGCAGUCUCUCUUCUGGGUAUUUAUCUAAAGGAGAUGAAAUUGGUACCUCAAAGGGGCAACCCCCCCUGACGCCCCUGCAGCCUUGUUCACCGGAGACAAGAUGCACAACUGCGUGUGUUUGUCCAUCUGCCGAGGAAUGUGGCUAAAGAAGUUGUGUUCGCCCUGAAGGAUGACAAACGUUAUUCUUCAUCAGGUUACCUGGAAAAUGAAGCUGCAUUUAGGGCACAUCGCAGAGAGGGAAUGGUGCAUACAUGGUGAGUAUAAAACUCAUUCCAGCAGUUCCCGUCGUGCGUGGCGCAGUGGUUAGCGAAUCCAACUAGGAACCAUGGGGUUGCAGGUUCGAUCCCUGGCCUCGCUCAGUGGGUUGAGGAUCCACGUGGCUGUGAGCUGUGGUGUAGGCUGGCGGCUACAGCUCCGAUUCAACCCCUAGCCUGGGAACCUCCAUGUGCCGCGGGAGCAGCCCUAGAAAAGGCAAAAAGACCAACAAAAAUUUAAAAAUAAAUGAAUAAGUAAAACUCAUUCCAGGAUGAUUUCCUAGCUAUUACCAGAUACUCCAAACUACCAAUGUUUAAUUGCACAUAAAACAUGAUUUGCCACCCUACAAGGCUAGGCGUGAAAUAUGACAGAAUUUCUCUCUGACUACAUAUGUGCGUGUGUAUGUGUGUUGAAUAAUGUUUAUUAUGUAUUUAAUGUAUAUGCAAUGGACUAUUAUGCAGCUUUUAAAAGAGAGAUUCUGGCUUUGGUGACCACAGGCAUGAACCCAGAGGAUGCGAGGCUCAUUGAAAUAAGCCAGGCAGAGAAAGACAAAGACCUCGGGAGCUCACGCAGCCGGGGGAUCGGAAGGCCUCAAGUGCGCAGGAGCAGAGAGCAGGACAGUAGAUGCUGGAGGUGGGGGUGGGGAACAGGGGGCAACUGGCAGCUGCGCAGGAGGGGUGAGCCCAGAAGGCGGUGCAGAGCCCGGGGCAGCAGGUGGUCACCGCGCCGAAUGCUGGAAACUGGCUCCAGGUACGUCUCAGGUGCUCCCAUCACACAUGUAACUGCAGGGCCGUGUGUGUGUGUGUGUGUGUGUGUGUGUGUGUUCAUCAUAUGUGACACUAUGGGUAUGCACCUCAGAUCAUGGUGUACACCUUACAUAUACAUAAUUCUCAUAAAAAUAAAUGAAUGGACCCAGUAGCAUCCUUGAUGCCAUCACCAUGCAGCAUGGCACCUUCAAUGUCUGGGAUGCCACGGGUGCUAGUUGGCCACUGGCCCAGCAGACUGCCAGCCCUUGAACUGCCCCUAGUCCACCUGGAGGUAAAGGCAGAGGCGGGGCGGCAGGGGAGGCAGGGCUUCACUAAUUGAAUUUAGUUGUGUAAGAAUUGUCUGUGGUGUGCACAGCCUGACACGAUGUACGUCCCCAGGGAGGUGACGGUGACAGUCUGUUAUCACCCACCUCUCCCCCCACAGUUCCGGGGGUGGACGAGCCGGCUGCCCCUGUCCAGCCCCAGGCGUCCCCAUCCUGCGGCUCCCAGCGUCCGGUGAGAACCACACUCUGUGCAGGGAGGCCGCUGCAGACUGGGGCCACUGGGCUGGAGGACGACUGCAGAGCGGGCAGGGGCCUUCGGUCUGGAUUUUUGUGGCCUCUCCAAACAGCCUCGAGUCCUGCUGCUGCUGCCCGGGAUGUGUGUCAGGUCCUGACCGGACUGGACGCUCAGCUAGGAACUGUCUAUUUUUAGGGGCUAUUUGAUGACUCGAGCGUUGACUUCAUGGAAUUGAUGUCAUCAUAAAAGUGGCCUGAAAAUGGAAUCUUCCACCUCUCAACCCGUUUCUUUAUUGACUUAUGUCAUCGUCUCGGAGCAGGAAAUCCUACCCUAAUUUCUGAUCGAUUUGCAAUCACCACCAGCUCCGAACACCAUAAAAAUCGCUCCGCCUGAUUCCUUUGCGGAAUAAACAACAAACUAUGGCCAAAGUUUACUGACGCUCAAAAGUUAUUUAAAGGAGACACCGGGGAAGGCAUUCUCUAAGGCGAAGUUCUUUGCCUGUUUGCCAGGGAUGCUGGAGAAAGGGUCCCACAAAUAUAGCUUUUCAAAUUCAGGUAACUGAAUAAAUAAUCUCCAGAUUCCUACCUGGUUCCUCGGUCCGGGCCUGGGGCUGCCGCCGCUAAUUCCGAGGGACAGAGGGCGCCUCACCAAGCCCAGGGCCACCACCCUCCUGCUGCAAGCCCUUAGUUUCUUCUUGCAAGUCCAGCCGCUUGGAAUCCCUGCUGGGGCGCAGCAGGCAGGUACCAGCCACCUCGGGCCUGCUGGUGCUCAGGGCCCCCAGCUCGCACCUGUCCCCACCUGCAGCCCCGGGGUGGGCGGCCUGAGCAUCUUUCUCCCUCUAGCUGUUGGGCUCAGUGUUUUCUGGGCAGGUUACAGUAGAAUGGCUGGUCGCCCAGCACCACGUCCCUGUGUCUCCCGCCGUUUGGGAUUUUUGUGGCACCUACUCCCUGUUGGGGCGUCUCUGGCCUGAACCAAACCUGAGUUCUGUACAAAAUACUGGUGUCCCCCGCUUUCCCACAGUUCGCUUUAAGCUACUUUGCUUUUAUUAAAGACCUACAUUCGCACCUGUUAUUGCUCACCAAAAGAAGUCUGACAAGGA
rnacentral:lncRNA from 1 species